GUCAUCAUUUGAUCCCAUUACAAAUUGUAUACAGGUAUUUAUUUAUAUAUUUCAAAGUUUAUAUGUUGGGUUGUUGUUCACAUGACACAUCAUGAUUCAAAUUUUAAUUCUACUUUAUAUGAGGAAUUAUCUCAUUUUAAUGGAUUAGAAUUUAAUGGUAAAUCAAGAAUGUCAAAGUAGCAAGAUUCCCUGCUUAUGUCAUCACAUUUCCAUGGUUCACUGAAUAGUUAUUAAAGGUACCAGGAUUAUAAUUUAUUACGCCAGACGCGCGUUU
rnacentral:lncRNA from 1 species